AGUGGGGAAUAUUGCACAAUGGGCGCAAGCCUGAUGCAGCAACGCCGCGUGAGGGACGACGGCCUUCGGGUUGUAAACCUCUUUUAGCAGGGAAGAAGCGAAAGUGACGGUACCUGCAGAAAAAGCGCCGGCUAACUACGUGCCAGCAGCCGCGGUAAUACGUAGGGCGCAAGCGUUAUCCGGAAUUAUUGGGCGUAAAGAGCUCGUAGGCGGUUUGUCGCGUCUGCUGUGAAAUCCGGAGGCUCAACCUCCGGCCUGCAGUGGGUACGGGCAGACUAGAGUGCGGUAGGGGAGAUUGGAAUUCCUGGUGUAGCGGUGGAAUGCGCAGAUAUCAGGAGGAACACCGAUGGCGAAGGCAGAUCUCUGGGCCGUAACUGACGCUGAGGAGCGAAAGGGUGGGGAGCAAACAGGCUUAGAUACCCUGGUAGUCCACCCCGUAAACGUUGGGAACUAGUUGUGGGGUCCAUUCCACGGAUUCCGUGACGCAGCUAACGCAUUAAGUUCCCCGCCUGGGGAGUACGGCCGCAAGGCUAAAACUCAAAGGAAUUGACGGGGACCCGCACAAGCGGCGGAGCAUGCGGAUUAAUUCGAUGCAACGCGAAGAACCUUACCAAGGCUUGACAUAUACGAGAACGGGCCAGAAAUGGUCAACUCUUGGA
rnacentral:rRNA from 1 species